GAUGAACGCUAGCGGCAGGCCUAAUACAUGCAAGUCGUACGGCAACACAGUUGCGAGCAAUCGCAACCGGUGGCGAGUGGCGCACGGGUGAGUAACGCGUAUGUAACCUACCCUUCUCCGGGACAUAACUCCGCGAAAGCGGUGCUAAUAUCCCAUACCAACUCAUCAAGACAUCUUCUUGAGUUGAAAGCAGCAAUGCGGUGAAGGAUGGGCAUGCGUCCCAUUAGCUGGUUGGUGAGGUAAUGGCCCACCAAGGCUACGAUGGGUAGGGGUUCUGAGAGGAAAGCCCCCCACACUGGUACUGAGACACGGACCAGACUCCUACGGGAGGCAGCAGUGGGGAAUUUUGGACAAUGGGCGCAAGCCUGAUCCAGCCAUUCCGCGUGCAGGAUGAAGGCCUUCGGUUGUAACUGUCUUUGUACGGAACGAACGGACGAGCUCUAUACAGUUUGUCUAAUGACGGUACCGUAAGAAUAAGCACCGGCUAACUACGU
rnacentral:rRNA from 1 species